UAGCAUUGUCCCAGUUUGUCAGAUCGCGCGGCCUCCGACCCCACAACACCGGGCAGGUCCGCCAUGCGGCCGCUGGGCUGGUUCUGCAGCCGUCUUUUCAAGACUUUCUCUUACAGAGCCCAGAUGUUACAAUGGACUAUCCUGGACUUUUUUGAUGAAAUCAAAGGGAAACUUAUGGGAGACUACGACCCAUUGCAG